AAGUGGGCCACGUCUCCCCAACGAGACGCGUGCUAUCUGAGAGGAUAGAAACA
rfam:Ochrobactrum anthropi ATCC 49188 chromosome 1, complete sequence.